GAAACUAUACUUUCAAGAAUCAUUUUUAUAGUUUGUUUCUUUGAUCAUGUAGAGCACCAAGAAACCAUGAAGAGGUGCCAUAUCAUCCUCUUUUGAGUAUGAAUCUGGUUUUAGGUGUGUUACCAUUGAUGUUUGUUCUCUCCUCUCUUGGGGAAUAAGAAGUAGAGGAUGCACUCUGAUUGG
rnacentral:snoRNA from 1 species